rnacentral:rRNA from 1 species
UACGAGAGGCCCAAACGUUAUUCGGAAUUACUGGGCUUAAAGAGUUCGUAGGCGGCGCGGAAAGUGGGGUGUGAAAGCCCUCGGCUCAACCGAGGAAUUGCGCUCCAAACUACCGUGCUUGAGGAAGCUAGAGGUGAGCAGAACUGAUGGUGGAGCGGUGAAAUGCGUUGAUAUCAUCAGGAAUACCGGAGGCGAAGGCGGCUCACUGGGGCUUUUUCUGACGCUGAGGAAGAAGCAAGGCUGAGCGAACGGG